rnacentral:rRNA from 1 species
UACGUAGGGCGCAAGCGUUAUCCGGAAUUAUUGGGCGUAAAGAGCUCGUAGGCGGUUUGUCGCGUCUGCCGUGAAAGUCCGGGGCUCAACUCCGGAUCUGCGGUGGGUACGGGCAGACUAGAGUUCGGCAGGGGAGACUGGAAUUCCUGGUGUAGCGGUGAAAUGCGCAGAUAUCAGGAGGAACACCGAGUGGCGAAGGCAGGGUCUCUGGGCCGAUACUGACGCUGAGGAGCGAAAGCGUGGGGAGCGAACAGG